UGGAAUGAAACAGACAUUUGAAUUUUGAGCUGUAACAGAGUUGAAUUACAAUUGCGACUGCAGUCAGCAGUCGGCAAGCGUUUAUGUAUAAAUAUUGAUAUUCGUUUAAAAAAAGUAGCACACAAACUUAUGUAUUACUUUUUAAUUAAAAAAAUUGAGUCAAGUGAUAAAAUGGCCAGAAAAAAAAACAAAAAUGGAAUCAUUUUUUUGGGAGAUUUAUAUUACUAGUCACAAAUUGUAUUUAUAAAAUGGAGCCAGAUCUGAGAUUGGUAGAGUAACAGUUUCGAAACGGUGAAAAACAGCGUUAUGUAUAAUUAAUACCUUUUAGGAAAUGAAUCACUGAUCUGCAUGAUUCGUCAUACGUCCUCAAAUGCAUCACAGAAAUCUACCUAUGAUGCGCAUCAACAUCUCAAACUAUCAGCUACAGUGCAGUGAUACAUUAACCAUCAGAAUAAAAUCCAAGUCGGAAAUUAAAACUUUCAGAAAACAAAUAUUUCAUCAUUCAUCUGAUUAUUUUUUAGACAACUUUCAAGGAUACAAAACCUAUUUGAUAUUUUAUAAGGUAGACUGUACUUAUUGCAUUUCGCCCCCCAAGGUGCCGAAAUGUUAAUAUUCAGAGUAAAAAAUUUCAGACUGAACUAAGAAAAUAUAAUAAUACAAAAAUACAAUGUUUUUAA